rnacentral:rRNA from 1 species
UACGUAGGGUGCAAGCGUUAAUCGGAAUUACUGGGCGUAAAGCGUGCGCAGGCGGUUUUGUAAGUCUGUCGUGAAAUCCCCGGGCUCAACCUGGGAAUUGCGUCCGAUACUGGGAGGCUUGAAUCCGGGAGAGGGAUGCGGAAUUCCAGGUGUAGCGGUGAAAUGCGUAGAUAUCUGGAGGAACACCGGUGGCGAAGGCGGCAUCCUGGACCGGCAUUGACGCUGAGGCGCGAAAGCCAGGGGAGCAAACGGG